UGAUAUGGUUUGGCUGAAGGAUUUUCUAGCCUAUUACAAGCCUCUCCCUUCUCACCCUACAACUCUCCACAGCUUAUAAAAAUCAGGAGAAAAGUUUAUCCUCUGCACUUCUAAAUGCAAACCUUAGUUGUUAUUGUCCCAUUCCCCCCCCCCCCCCCGGAAGAGGUUUUGCUGUGGUACUCUGGCAGUACAUUGUAGGUAGCCUUCGUUAUUCAGCACUAACAAUGGGCCCAUGCUGGGAAUAUAUGUCAAAAUUUUAAUAGGAGACGCAAGAAGAUACUUGGAAGACCUUAGAGGAAGGAAUAGUCAGGUGCUCCAUGGCUCUAGGAUAACUGUGGGCAAUUGGCAGGUAGGUCACAGGGACUAACCAUGCUACUACAUGUCAGCAGCCAUUUUUGUUUCGUAUGGAUAUUGUUUCCUAUCUGGAUUCAGGUCUUGCAUGAAUAUUUCGUAGUUUCCCAAGAGAGCCUAAGUAGCCAAUCUCCCUUCUUCUGCAGAAAACACAAAUGCUCCUUAAAACAGAUUCAUGGCCUUCCCUCUUAAAGUGAUUUAGCAGAAUUUCAAAUUGCCAUUUAAGCUGAUCUGCAACAACUUUACUCCAUGUGCACCUCCUGCAGGAGGGGCCAAUCAAUGUGCCCUCACUGUGUUAGUUGUACUUCAUACUCUUCUGUAACACAACUUGCCUCUGAAGCUGGUGAGUCUAUUCAUUACACCCUGUAUAAUACAAUUGACUACAAGUGCUUAAAGUUGGUGACAGUGUUAUAAAUCAACAAAAGCUGAUCGGAAUCGAGGCUGAAAUAGCCCCGUAAAUAUGGGCCAUGUAAUCCAUUAUUGGAAAUAGUUUUAACAGCCAUCUUUAGCCAGUUUCCUCUAAAACAAGGCACAUAAUAAUCUGAUGAUAAUAAUGAUAAGCAGCCCCAGGGAUAGUAUGGAUCAAACCUGGCAUUAGCUUUCAGAAAGUAUUUAUUACAAGGCUUUGCCUUCUGUGCCACAUCCCUUGUGUGCUAUUAUCCUGUACUGCUGCUUUAUAUCAAAGUUAUGCUUUGGGUCUUAGUAAAGAGUUGCCUUUGAACAUGUUUUCCAAUAUAGCUUUUGAGAGAGAAUGCCAGAUCCAGCUCUCUUGAUAUUUCCAGACAAGGUUUAGAUCUGUGUUUUUAACACCUGAAAAUCCAAUGGGCUGGAAUAAUUUGCAAGUAUUCUUGUAAACAUUAUUUAAACACAGGAUUAGGUAAACAAGUGGGGUGGAGCACUGUGCUAGAGAUGUGUUGUGCCAACUUCAUAGCAACUCUGAAAUCAUGUAUCUGACCUAAGGAAAUUUCAACUCACUCUGGAUCAUAAUUUUCAAGCCAUUGUUAAAGCAGGAGGCUGAAGUCUUUUGUAAAGUCACGAAUACACGGCAAAGAUAAAUCCUUGAUUAGUGGAAAGUUGACUACUCCCUGCCAAUAGUAGAUUUUCCAAUGUGAUUGAUUCUGAAGUCUUUGUGCAGUAGUGCCCUUUUUUUGGCCUCUGUUAAAAGUGGAGAAGCUGAAGAAUGUUGUUUUGACUGAUUGCAGCAUGGAGCAUAAGCACAGAGGCCUGCUGGAUCAGGUCAGAGGCCCAACUAGUGCAGCUUCCUCCAUCCUGCUAACAUCCAUGAAGGACUAUUUUAGUGUGCUUUCCCUGGGGCUGCUCUUGGAGAUGAUCUGAAAUUGCAACUAGUGCAGAUUGAUAGGAGCAGCAGGCUGAUAUAGAAAUAUUGCAAUACAAUAAAUAAACAAACACUGUUCUCACAGUGACCCACCAUAUGCUUAUGGGAAGUCUGCAAGCAGGACAUCUCACAACUGCACUCUGGCCUCUUGUGCUUCCCAGCUACUGGUAUUCAGAUGCAUAUUGCCUCCAACAGUAGAGGUGAAACAUAGCCACCACGGCUAGUAUCAGCUGAUUUUUCUAAACCCCUUUUAAAGCCACCUGAGUUGGCAGUUUUCACUACUUCUUGUAGUAGCAAAUUCAGUUGCUUAGGGAUAGCCAACCUCCAGAUGCACAGCCAGUUCUAAGGAAUGAUGGGAGUUGGAGUCCAUCAACAUCUGGAGGGCACCAUGUUGGCUACCCCUGCCAUAGUUUAUCAAUGUGCUGUGUGAAGAGGAAUUAUGGGCUCUCGUAUUAUGAUAGAGGAAGAAAAAUAUUAUAUCUAUCCACUUUCUCUGCAGCAUGCAUAAUUUUAUACAAUUCUUAUGAUGUCCCCCUUUGCUCACUUUUCUUCAGCUUUAAAAUGCCUCAGUUCCCACACUUUCCAAUUCCUCCAAGCCUCCCUUCUGCUGGAACAAGUGCUAAUUUAUUAUAGGUAGUGACAACUGGGUUUUCUAGAAAGAAACCACCUGAGGAUGCUUAGACUUCAAGGACAUUUGAUGCCAUAGCAGCCAGUUGGUGCACAAUGAGGAAAUGUGUACUGAAGCCUCCAUCAGCAGAAGCUUCCUCCCUGCCUACACAGUGUCUAAUACGGGCGUCUAUAGCUAGAGAGUGAUUCCAGCACUCUCCUCCUCCCCUUGCCAUGGCCUGCAUAUCCAAUCUGGAGAGUUGUGCUUGUUUUAGUCACUUGCCACAUACAAAGUGAGCAUCUAGCUGCUUUUGGACAGCACCUAGGAGGUUGACAAAAAUAUUUGGCUUGCUGUGGCAGCCAGGUUUGUGUUCAGUGGCUGUGAUUUCCUACUGUUCAUCGCAGAAACUGAUUCGUGUUCUCUGAAUGGUUUUAGAUGUUCCACCUCUUACGAUUCCAUUUGGUUUUUUGAAAGGGUUAGUAUUACCUUAGGAAAUAAAUGAGUAUAAGGUGAGAUUUCUGGCCCUCACAGUGGCACUUCAUGUUGGUUUUGAGCUAUGCUCAGAAAUGCUUUUCUUCCAUGUUCUCAUAAAUUGUGGUAUUCCUUGCUUGUAAAUUGUUAUCUAAACUGAGUGCUCUGAAGGAGACUCUGUUGUUUGAGAACUUGUAAGAACUGGACAGUUGAGCACCACUAUGGUUAGGGUUGGGCAGAAUGAUGAUAGAUGUGUCUGAGAGCUCAGUAAGACACAGGCUGAUCUUGCUUACAUACGAAAUGAACAGUAGGAACUGUGUCCUCUCCCAGAACAAUCAGUCAGCAAAUGCUUCAAAAUCCAGAAAUAGGGCAGCCACACAGACAGUAUCCAUCAGGGCCAAAACUCAUAUAUUUACAAGAAUAGGGCUUGUUCCACUCCUUGUUGGUUGUGCCUUUCUAGUAGCCAUAGGACUACUUCCAAUCUAGAAAGCUGAACAGAUGAGAAAUCUGUAAUAUCUUCACAUGACUUUGGUGAACAAGAUUGUUCUUGUGUUUAUAAGCCUGCGCAGUGUAGUGGCAAGGGUACUGAACAGGGACCUGGGAUACCGGGGUUUAAAUCUCCACUCAGCUAUGAAGCUCAUUGGGUCAGGCACCAUCACUCAACCUAACCUAUCUCACAGGGUUGUUGUGAGGAUAAAAUCAGGAGAGGGAGAGCCAUGUAUACUACCAUGAGCUCCUUGGAGGAAAGGUGAUAAAUGCAAUAAUAAAAUUCGAAAAUAUUGUAAAUAAAAUUUUAAAAUAGCAGCAAACUCCUAUGCAUAAAGAAUUGUGAACAGUAGGGGUAAGGCAUGACUUCUGCCUACCCACAGUACUGCCUAACACUGUGUGCCUUUGUGCAAAUACAGCCUUAAAUCUCACAUUUCCUAUUGAUGGAGAUUUUGAGACCCUGCACUGUGGAACAUUCCUAUUCUCCUGAAGCAUAAAAGCAGGGCUUGUGUAUGAAACCCCUCUUCUUUGACAGCAAAAAAAGAGCAAUGUAAAAUUGUAUUAAAUUCCCUUGCUGCAUUCAGUGACCGGACUGUAUGACUGGAGCAUGAACACAGUUUAAAAAUAGCUUCCACAUACAAACAAAUAAGAUAGCACCGGGGGGUAGUGUAGAUCUUAUUGCAGAAAUAUUUUACUUUGAGCUGCAUGUUACAGGUGGACUUUAUAUGCAAAUGAAAGCUUGUAAACUGCCUUGGGCAGGCACUGUCAAAUAGCCAAAAACUGUGCACGCGAGUCCCAGUGAGUUUGAUGGGACUACCAUAAGUACAUUUGCUUAGUUGCAUCUUUAUGGUGAAAGACCUAUCAGACUUGGGUUAUUCAGUUAGAUCUUUCCAAAUAUCAACUUGACAGUUCCAGUCAGAGAUAGUAUUUUAUUUCACAGGCAUUGUAUGUUGUAAUGUGCAUAUCUCUUUCAGAUUUAAGCGCAACCUCUGGGCACCUUUAUCCUUACAAUGACCCCAAAUUAAUUCAAAAUAUUUUGUACAUCUUUUGUUGAUGUUUCCAAAUCAAGGCCUUUGGGGACUCAAGAACAAGUCUGGCAAGGUGAGACUGCAUAUGUACAUGGUCAUCAUGUAAACCUGUCUCAAUCUUAAGAUCAGCACCAGAAGCCAUGCUUUCUGGCAUUUUGUGAUUGGAAAUUCCGACUGGUGAAUAAUAGGAACAGAGCCUUAUUGAUGGUGCUGUUGCAGUUAUGUGAUUCUCUCCCCAGGGAGAUCAAACAUGCAGCUUCUCUCCCUGCCUUUAGAUAGCUUUUCAAAACCUUCUUUGUAUGCUUUCUGCUAUUAUUAUUUUUUUAAACCCUCCCUACUUCAUUCUUGUUUUAGUGCUGCUGUGUGUUUUGCCUUUGGUAUUUUAGUCUGAUUUUAUUGUUCAAUAUAUUUAGUUUUUAUAUUUGUAAACGUCUUUGAUCGCUUUGGUAAAAACAGGAUAAAACUUCUCAUAUUCCUCCCAGUGUUGUGAGGGUGACCUUGGCAAUGUGCUUAUGUUUGAAGGGGAAGUACAGAAUAUCACCAUCCGAGAUGGGCUCUGCCUAUUGCGCAACAGUAGAUACAUAAAUAAGCAAAAUAUUGUUUAUUAUUAGCAUUAUUAGCAUAUUAAUAUGAGAAAUGACAAAAUGCAUAUAUUUGUUCAGACUUUACUGAUGCAAUACUGAUUUCAUAUUCUGUUUGGAGGAAAGCAGGAACGAAUAAAGCAGUGUUAGUUUACAAGCAGGUUUUAGAAAGUUGAGAAAGUUUAUAGGUGGAUUCCACUUCAAAACUUUUGAGAAGUGCUGUUGUAGAUAUCACCAUGAUCUAGUUUUGGCUAAGUGUUUGCAUUCUGUAGCUAUUGUCUAUGUGUUUGGGCUCAUCCAGACUUCCUUUUGCACUGUUCUUUCCAGGCACAGAUCCGCACUUUAAAGCGCCAUGUCCAAACAUUUGUGUGGGGCUUUUUUCUUUUUUCUUUUUUGUCCCAGUGCUUUCACAGGACACAUUUUACCACUGAAUUAGAGCAGAUGGGAGUACACUGAAAACACAAAUGCCAUUUGUUCUGAUUCAGCAGAAAAACAUGGCUUUUCCUCGGAAAGCGCUGGGACAGAAAAGGAAAAAAAACCCUCUCAAAAAAAACCCUACAGUGCUUUGAAGCUUGGACCCAUGCCUAGAAACACAGCACAAAAGGCAUUCUGGAUGAGCCCUUUGUUUUAGAAGGCCAGGUGUGAGUUCAAAAUUAUGGAGUUUGAUACUGUGGCAGACUUUUCACAAGUACCAUAUAUCUGUUUGCAAACAAAAAAAAAAUUCUGAAGGUUCACAAGGCCACCAGUUUACUGUAGCAAAGUAGGUCUGGAUAUGCUCAGUACCUGGAUGACAGGCCCUUCCACUUCUGUGGUGGAAGAAAGGUGAGAUACAAAUGUAAAUAAAAUAAGUGAAACCCUUAUCUGUGAGGGAGAACCAUUCAUAAUCCCUGGAUCAUUAUUUUGACCACUGUUUGCAUAAGUACUGAACUUGAGGAUCGGAUCUAGAGUACAAACAAACAUGAAGCAGUCCUUAGGGUUCAAACUGAAAACAAAACAUUAGCAUUUUGUUCAGUGUUUCUUUAUGUCAUGAUGAAUAAGCCAUGGUUUUAUGCUGCUGCUGUGAUUCACUCAAUAAUAGCUCUUCUUUUUUUGCUCUUGAAAGGUGUUAGCAAACAAAUAAAAUAACGAUUAAGCACUUGGAAGGCUACAUUUUCAAUUUACUCUAUAUGCGAUGCUUCAGUUUUUUGUGGUGUUCAAUUUCUUUGCUAUUACAAGGAGAAACUGUCAUUUCAGAGUUGAACAUUUGCUAUAAAAGGGCAUGGUCUGAAAGUGUGUGGUUUCUUGGCAAAAUAUCUAGCUGAGUUUGUUAAUGAGGAGAGAAGGGCAUAUUCUACUGCUGCUAUUUCUCUCAAAAACAAUAUAUUUCUUUUAAAGAAAAUUGUGCAUGGCCUGUAAAAUUGCUGCCCACAUUGUAGUCUGGUUUCUGUAAAUAAAAAUUUUUGACGCAGCUGUGAGAUGAAUUGCUGAAAGAUGUCUGUUUUGCAUGUAUGGUAUGUAAUUAUUACUUGUCCUAAAUGCAAUUAUAUGAUUGCCUAUAAUGUGUGAAGUUAAGAUUUUGAAAUAUUCAAAACAAUGAAAAUUAAAAAGCUGGAAAUGUAAAUAUUUGAAAGUCAUAUUUCUAAACAAGCCAUUAUUACUAUAAUAAGUGUACUUGCCUAGCUAACUAGGAUAUUCCUUGAUGAGCUGACUGGCUGAGGGCAAGGAUCCAGGGCUGCUUGCUAGAGUUAGUCACAACAGCAGUGGAUCUAUUUCACACUCUACACUGCUUUCUGUGCUCCCCAGAAGUUUCAUUGUCAUCCCCAAACACUAAUUAAACAAACAUUCAUUCCAGAAAAACAGUGGGUUAAUUUUACUUUAUACUGUAUAUCCUGAAUUCCCUGAUGUGAAUGUUAGGCAAUGAAUCCGCAUAUGGAAGGAGUUCUAUCCAAUAUAGGCCAAAAUAUGGACAUUGCCUCUGCAGUGGUGGAGCUGGACCAAAGCAGGUGAGCACAUUAGGCAGUAGCAUUUUUUCAGGAAAUUCAUGUAAGGAGAAGGAGGCGGCUAUAUUGUUUACCAUAGCAGGAGGGAUAUGUAUAAGGGGAUAGCAUGGAUUUUAGAGAUAAGAGGUGAUAAAUCUAUGUCAGUCUCACCUGGAGUACAGAGCAUUUGUGGGCACCUUAUCAUAAGAGGCCAAACCCCAUCACCAGGGCUGGAUUACAAUUACUACAGAGCCAGGGAUUCUCCUAUCAAACUCACUACUCCUCUUCUCUAGAUGCUUUCCCAGUGUGUAGUGCUUAAUAUCAAGUAGCUACCACCACUUUAUCACAUUAUUUACAACCAGACAGAUAACAAUGCCUGAAUAUCUAGACCUGGCACAUUUACUUAUUUGAACUGAUUUUUACAAUUUCUUGGUCUGCUAAAAAAACCCUCUAUAUAAUUGCCAGGCAGCAAAAGGCACAGUGGCAGGCUAGCAUACUCGAAGAAUAAUCCCAGGACACAAUCUGGAAUGCUUAGCCAAAAAGAAUAUUAAGAGAAACGGGUAGCUAGACAAUAUAAAACCAGGCAUUCAAGAGAUAAACGAAAGGUAAAAGCUAUAUUAAUUAAGUAUUGAAUUGGAUAUAGAUAGGAGGAUUCAGGAACAGGGUAAAAAAUCCUCAACUUAAUUAGCAGGUUCCAGGGAUUUUGAGUCUAUUACCCUUGAUGACAUAUUUAGUCUUGUUCAGUAGAGCAAAACCAACUUCUCCUCUUUGAAGCAUGCGGCAUUAAAGUCUCAAACAUGAUUACUGAAAAUCCAAGAUUGAAGCCAAUGGACAAUAAGGGUCAUGAAAAUGAUGACAUAGGAAUCCAGGUGGAUAUAUAUGUUUAUCAAAUAUAUUAAAGUGCUUC